AGUGAACGCUGGCGGUAGGCCUAACACAUGCAAGUCGAACGGCAGCACAGUAAGAGCUUGCUCUUACGGGUGGCGAGUGGCGGACGUGUGAGGAAUACAUCGGACUCUACUUUUUCGUGGGGGAUAACGUAGGGAAACUUACGCUAAUACCGCAUACGCCCUACGGUUGAAAGCAGGGGAUCUUCUGACCUUGCGCGAUUGAAUGAGCCGAUGUCGGAUUAGCUAGUUGGCGGGGUAAAGGCCCACCAAGGCGACGAUCCGUAGCUGGUCUGAGAGGAUGAUAAGCCACACUGGAAGUGAGACACGGUCAAGACUCCUACGAGAGGCAGCAGUGGGGAAUAUUGGACAAUGGGCGCAAGCCUGAUCCAGCCAGACCGAGUGUGUGAAGAAGGCGUUCGGGUUGUAAAGACCUCUUGUUGGGAAAGAAAAGCAGCAGGCUAAUACCCAGCUGUUCUGACGGUACCCAAAGAAGAAGCACCGGCUAACUUCGUG
rnacentral:rRNA from 1 species